rnacentral:rRNA from 1 species
UACGUAGGUGGCGAGCGUUGUCCGGAUUUAUUGGGUUUAAAGGGUGCGUAGGCGGCCAUGUAAGUCAGUGCUGAAAUAUCCCGGCUUAACCGGGAGGGUGGCAUUGAUACUGCGUGGCUAGAGUACAGAUGAGGUAGGCGGAAUUGACGGUGUAGCGGUGAAAUGCUUAGAUAUCGUCAAGAACACCUAUAGCGAAGGCAGCUUACUAGGCUGUAACUGACGCUGAGGCACGAAAGUGUGGGGAUCAAACAGGAUUAGAAACCCCUGUAGUCC